rnacentral:lncRNA from 1 species
CGGGAAGGCAGCAGCUCAGCUCCUCCGGCUGCAGCAGCGACUGCACUACAGCAUCACCCUCUGGUUUUAUGGUGCCUUCCUCUCCCCUGCAUUCGCAGAGGGCCACAUAACCCCGUUCUUCGCCCUGCCCUGCCUGUGUGGGUUUUGUAUGAUGGCAAAAUCUCCAGUGCAAAUGAAGAUGCUCCUGGCAUACUCCUUACCCACCUGGGCUAUUAUGGUAUAGACAUGAUGGCUACCAGGAUAGCUUGACAGUUCUAUGCACUCCCAAACGUAACUGCAAUAGGAGGAAGUCACAUUCAGUACAGAUGGAGCCUUGGAGUGACCUUCUUAGCUAAAAAUUAGAAAUGAGAAUGCCACAAGCAGCAG